rnacentral:misc_RNA from 1 species
AAACAAAAAAAAGGACAAAAAAAAAAAAGAAAAAGAUUAACCCAUGCUUGGAUGGUUACAUUGUGCUGUAAUUGCUAUUUGCCUGGCAGUGGUCAUUUACAUCUACUAUACAGGUUUGAUCUAUCAAUUCGAUCAUGGAUUUCUAGUAGGGUUCAGUGAUGAACUUCCAGUGGGAAAUUAAUCUUAUUUUGAGGACAACAGAUGUAGUUUUCAAUCAUGUGGGUUUUUUUUUUUCUUUGGGCAAAUGUCAGCAGAUAAUGUACUCUUUGGUACUUUAAGAGUGCUUUCUUUUGUAACAGAAAAGUAAUUUGGUCCUCAGUUUUUUCCCAUGUGAUACAAAAUUUGGUUGUAACCUUUGUAUGGCAGAGUAGUUUGGUAGUGAUAGAUAGCAAUUGAGAUUGCACUUACAAAGAAACCACUAAAAGUCUCUGUUUUUGGAGACAGAACUUUUACUAUAUUGACAUAAAUUUGUGAUUGCUUUGUAGCAAAUCCCAUAUGUAGCAAUAUUGGUGUUGGUCAAUUAAAUUGAGUUGCUUAUGCUUUCAAAUACAUGCUUUAUGUUGGCAACAACUGAAUAGUUGGUAGUAUGUUGUAACCUCUACAGAUAGGUUUAUAUUUGUAAAAAAAAAAAA